rnacentral:sRNA from 1 species
UAUCAUGGAACUUACAUCUUCGUUAUGU